GGCAGGUUAUCUCGGUGGUUAGAGCUUAGGGCUCGUGAUCGCGAGGUCUCGGGUUCGAAUCCCGCCAGAGGCA
rnacentral:tRNA from 1 species